UGGAAGAACGGGUUCAAACUUGCUUAGUGU
rnacentral:piRNA from 1 species